rnacentral:lncRNA from 1 species
GCAGUGAGACUGACUGCGUCGGGGUUGAGACUGGGUGGAUGAGGCUCACCCCGGCGGGGAGAAGGGACGAGGAGGGGCGGACAGCGGAAGGUCCGGGAGUGUCCGCCAUAAAGUCGUUUGAGGUGACCGUUGCGUAAUUGUGAGUCUGUGAGAGAAGAUGUGAAGUAUGGCCUCGUCCCGGUCAUCUGGGCGUGCGGGUCCCGGGUUUUGAUCGCGCGUUUGUGUAGUUUUAACUUCUAGUCAUGGCGAAUGAUCGCAGGAGAGCACAGACUGGACCCUGCUACGAUCUCUCUUGGAGUGGAUCAGACUGAUGAUCACCAACAACCAACUCAUUCCCGGAUAAGGAAGAAGAGAGUGUCACCUACUUCAGUGUGGUUUCAACCCUACUUCUGCAUCUUAAAGACACUUGUACAACGUUGGACACUGUGCAGGAUGAUGCCACUUCAUCUUGGAUGCUAAUCUGCCAUGUUGACUUCUGAUUAACCCCAGGCCCAGGAAUGCCUCAAGAUUUCUACUUUACUUACUGUUGCUUGUGUAAGCCAAGACAACCUUGAUGUUAUCAUAAACAUGUACUUACCUAAGUCCUGUCCUUUGGCAAAUUAUGGGCUAUGAGACACAGCAUUCUUGCCUUUCCCUGAGGGGUCAAUUUCAGCGAUCCUACACAUUCCUUCUGAAGCA